rnacentral:rRNA from 1 species
UACGGGGGGGCAAGCGUUGUUCGGAAUUACUGGGCGUAAAGGGCGCGUAGGCGGUUUGCUAAGUUGAAUGUGAAAACUCUGGGCUUAACCCAGAGCCUGCAUUCAAUACUGGCAGGCUAGAGUUCUGGAGGGGAUAGCGGAAUUCCUGGUGUAGCGGUGAAAUGCGUAGAUAUCAGGAGGAACACCGGUGGCGAAGGCGGCUAUGUGGACAGAGUCUGGACGCGAAGGCGCGAAAGCGUGGGGAGCGAACAGG